GGAUUAUCCACAAAAACGAAAUUGUGGAUUAUACCGAACUCGGCAUUAUUGUAUUAUUGUUUGCCUUACUGAGUUGGCAUAUUCUAUUCAAAUCUUGCUGUGGAAUCAGCGCACUUUUUAUUACAUCUGUUAUUGCAAAUCCUGAUUUACUGAUGUGGGACUAAUACGAUCACUAAUUGGUCAUCUAUUCUUUUAUGUUCUUCCGACU